rnacentral:lncRNA from 1 species
UUCUUUUGGUCCAAGGUUGCGUGCCUUUCUCCAGGGUUCGUUCAACUGCUUCAGAGGGAGGUCAGAGAAGCCUUCCUAGGUCUGAGUCCUGCUUGAGGAAGGACUUAGAUCAGUCUUCAUGUAUCUCUGGAUAUGCCAGGAUCAUCAAUGAAGCUGUAACACAGAAGCCUCGGAGUGGGGUCCACAGCCGUCGGAGACAGUUAAGGAUGUGUGCCUCUGAUGACGACUUUGGAAUGAGACCAGAUGCAAAUCAGUAAAGUUUGUCUGUUACGCACUUUGAACCUAGAAGACAAAGACUACUAUGCCAGGGCCUGCCUGUGCCUGUUCUGAAGCCGAGGCACGCAUGGAAGGUCACCCAUCCUUCCCAACUAAAAGGUAGCAAAUGAGCCUGGAAGAGGACUCAGACAAUAAAGCAUUCCCCCACACAAACAUAAGGACCCGAGUUCAAAUCUCCAGCACCCCCUGAAAAAUGCUAAACGUAGCUCUGUGUGCCCACAAUCCCAGGAGUAUGAGGCAGAGACAGGAGGAUGUCUGAAGCUUGCUGGUCAUCUGACUGAUCAGGGAGAGAACCAGUCGGAAAAAUAUGGUGAGAAGUAAUAGAGAAAGACACAGCAACCUUGAGCUCUGGCCUACACACACACACACAUAUUCUCAGACAAUAAAAGACAACAGUUUAAUAGGGUGAGAGGCACAAUAAGGAACGAAGCAUACAUCUUGGUUGGAACAGAUUUCUGUAACAAAACAAAUAAAAGGAAGCAAGCAUGGGUGGAUGGUGUGACAAAGCCUUCCCUUUGGCCUGGCCGGCUCAGUGGAUGAGGAGCCG